rnacentral:tRNA from 1 species
GGUUGUGACUCAGUGGUACAGCACUUGCCUAGCAUGCAUGAGGCACUGGGUUCGAUCCCUGGCACCA